ACGUAGGGUGCGAGCGUUAAUCGGAAUUACUGGGCGUAAAGCGUGCGCAGGCGGUUUUGUAAGUCAGAUGUGAAAUCCCCGGGCUCAACCUGGGAACUGCAUUUGAGACUGCAAGGCUAGAGUUUGGCAGAGGGGGGUGGAAUUCCACGUGUAGCAGUGAAAUGCGUAGAGAUGUGGAGGAACACCGAUGGCGAAGGCAGCCCCCUGGGCCAAUACUGACGCUCAUGCACGAAAGCGUGGGGAGCAAACAGGAUUAGAUACCCUGGUAGUCCACGCCCUAAACGAUGUCAACUAGGUGUUGGAAGGGUUAAACCUUUUAGUGCCGUAGCUAACGCGUGAAGUUGACCGCCUGGGGAGUACGGCCGCAAGGCUA
rnacentral:rRNA from 1 species